GGUUAAGCGACUAAGCGUACACGGUGGAUGCCCUGGCAGUCAGAGGCGAUGAAGGGCGUGCUAAUCUGCGAUAAGCGCCGGUAAGGUGAUAUGAACCGUUAUAACCGGCGAUACCCGAAUGGGGAAACCCAGUGUGAUUCGUCACACUAUCAUUAACUGAAUCCAUAGGUUAAUGAGGCGAACCGGGGGAACUGAAACAUCUAAGUACCCCGAGGAAAAGAAAUCAACCGAGAUUCCCCCAGUAGCGGCGAGCGAACGGGGAGGAGCCCAGAGCCUGAAUCAGCAUGUGUGUUAGUGGAAGCGUCUGGAAAGGCGCGCGAUACAGGGUGACAGCCCCGUACACAAAAGCGCAUGUGCUGUGAGCUCGAUGAGUAGGGCGGGACACGUGGUAUCCUGUCUGAAUAUGGGGGGACCAUCCUCCAAGGCUAAAUACUCCUGACUGACCGAUAGUGAACCAGUACCGUGAGGGAAAGGCGAAAAGAACCCCGGCGAGGGGAGUGAAAAAGAACCUGAAACCGUGUACGUACAAGCAGUGGGAGCCCCACCACUAAGCCAGUGGUGAACUCCACAUACGCAUCCUUUGCUGAGGAUACGGUUAACGGAGCGCAAGCGACGUUCAACCUCAAAAGAAGCAGAGGGGGCUUAGUGGUGGGGUGACUGCGUACCUUUUGUAUAAUGGGUCAGCGACUUAUAUUCUGUAGCAAGGUUAACCGAAUAGGGGAGCCGGAGGGAAACCGAGUCUUAAUUGGGCGUUAAGUUGCAGGGUAUAGACCCGAAACCCGGUGAUCUAGCCAUGGGCAGGUUGAA
rnacentral:rRNA from 1 species